rnacentral:rRNA from 1 species
GACGAACGCUGGCGGCGCGCCUAACACAUGCAAGUCGAACGAGCGAGAGAGAGCUUGCUUUCUCAAGCGAGUGGCGAACGGGUGAGUAACGCGUGAGGAACCUGCCUCAAAGAGGGGGACAACAGUUGGAAACGACUGCUAAUACCGCAUAAGCCCACAGGUCGGCAUCGACCAGAGGGAAAAGGAGCAAUCCGCUUUGAGAUGGCCUCGCGUCCGAUUAGCUAGUUGGUGAGGUAACGGCCCACCAAGGCAACGAUCGGUAGCUGGACUGAGGGGUUGAACGGCCACAUUGGGACUGAGACACGGCCCAGACUCCUACGGGAAGCAGCAGUGGGGAAUAUUGCACAAUGGGGGAAACCCUGAUGCAGCGACGCCGCGUGGAGGAAGAAGGUCUUCGGAUUGUAAACUCCUGUUGUUGAGGAAGAUAAUGACGGUACUCAACAAGGAAGUGACGGCUAACUACGUG